GCCCUCUGAGAAGAGAAUGUUAGGCUUCUGAAAGAAGAGAUAAAUAGUGAGAGAUAACAUCUAAGAAUCAAAAUAAUAUAUUCAGUAAUUAUUUUCUGAACCUAUCCUAAUGCUCUGACCGAUACAUUCUUUAGAACAUCUACCCGUACAUUCCAAGGACCCUUUUUCCACGGCCCUUUUUCUCCCUGUAUCCCUCUUCCUGCUCCCCUUCUUUUGCACAGGGCAUGUUUCACAUAUACAAGAUGUUCUUACGUGUCAUCCCACUUUAGAGAUGAGCAAAUUGAGUCUCAGGGAAGGCAAACAUCAACUUUGUCUUGGGGAAAGGGCAGGAAGCUGGAAGGGAGGAGGAAAUGAGCUCUGGCGAAGGAAAGAGGACAUGGCUGGGAUCCUUAUGGGGUGGUGUACGAGUACCCGUGCCCCCCCGAUCUGUGGGGUGAGGGUGGCGGUGACUAGCGCUGGGACCAGCUCCUUCUCUCUCGCUCCCAAGCCCACAAGAAUUCGGGGAGAAAGGGUGAGGUAGGGGGCUCCGGGAGAGCGGAGAGAGUUUGGAAAGAAUCCAUCCCUCCUUCUCCCCGGCGGCUUUCUCGAGACCCUCACACAGCGCCCCGCCCCGCCCCAGUACAUUUCCUUUCAGGGAAAGGGACAGGGAAGAGGCUGUCGGGAAAUGGCGGCCGCGGCCGGGCUGGGGCUUCAGCGGGAGGCAGCAGAGGGGAAGUGGCCAGCGUGGCGAAUGACGGAAGAAACUCGCAUUGUCUACUGGAUCAAGGACAGACAGCUCACCAACCAUGACAGCACCAUACUGGAACUUCAAAAAGUUCUGAAAACAUGUUGUGCUCAGAGCAUGAAAAUUUUCUGCUGUCUUUGGAACUUUGUCUACAAACAGUUAGAAGAUGCAGCCCAAGGGCUCACCAUGGGUGGCGAUGUUGAAGAACAUGAAGACCUUACUGCUGAUAGCACCAUCUUCAAAUUUGUGGAAGCUUAUGUGAGUUGGAUAGGAAAAUUUCCUACAUAUAAUGUUGGCUCUUCCAUUUGUUUCCAAUUUAGUAUUUCUCAGUUGAUAUUAUUUUUUUGUUGA
rnacentral:lncRNA from 1 species